rnacentral:lncRNA from 1 species
UGCGGAUUGGCAUUAGUGUAGUGUAAUUAUAUCUAAAAGUUAGCUGCCUGGCAUUGUUACCUUGUCUACAUAAACUACAUGAAAUGUUCCACUGAGUGAUCUAUGCUCAUUGUAGAACAAUGUAAGGCAUGCAUACAAGGACACCAGAGAAGAGAGACAGACAAAAUGCGAGCACCGACUAUCAACUGAAAAUCUGAUAGUUGACACUGUGGCAGAAAAGACCUUUCAGUUGACAGUUGGCAUUCCUGUUGUCCCGUUCUCUCCUUUUAUGUCCUCGUCUACACACCUCACAUUCUUUGAUGAAUCCUUUAACUAUAGCUCAAAUUUCUGGCAUUCUAAUUUUAAUAAUGGUCUUUUAUUACUAUUCUUUGCAGAAGAACAAGGCCGGCAUGGUGUGAAAAUGAAAACUCGUAUACAGGGUGAAACUGGUUCUACCUCCCGAAGGCCAAAAGGUGCAGAUUGCCCUAGGAAGGUUGGAGGAACAUACUGCUGCAACUUUUGCCCCUACGUAUCGAAAAACUCGCCUAAUAUUGCUCGACACAUGCGAAUUCACAGCAAAGAGAAGCCAUUCAAGUGCACAAUAUGUCCGAAGAGUUUCGCACGAUUGGAUACGCUUACAAUUCACAAGCGAGU